AGGGAUGUAGCUCAGUGGCUCAGUACCUGCCUGGCAAGCAUGAGACCCUUUGUUCUAUUCCUAGUAUCCCCC
rnacentral:tRNA from 1 species